CUUACACACCAUUACAUAACAGAAGGGUUUUUCUUGGCUCAAUAAACCGACAGAUACCACUGGUCCUCAUCAUUUGAUCUUGGAUAAAGUUUAAUAUCUGUUUCCAACUUCUUGUGAUUUUUAUAGUUAACGAUCAUUCCUAUAAUGCAUCGGACCGUAUGAAGAAUUAACGACAUAGUACAAGAUAAAGUGCAGGUUAUGAUAUGCACACAUAUCAAAUUGUGCUUCACAGAUUGAUUUCUAAACUACUUCAGUAUGAUGAUGAACCCAUAAGAAGAUAGUAAAACCGAGAAGCGUCUGAAAAAACAAUUAUAAAACGCCUUGAUCCUUCAAAACCAAUUUCCAACUCAAGUACUUCCCAUGUGCUGAAGAUAAAUAUGAUUUUAACAUUACAAAGAUGAGCUCUUACUGUUUUAAUCAGAACUUCCGGAAUCGUUUAAGAUAAUUAUGGCUCUGCACGUGCAAUUAGCGUGCAUGCACAAUUAACAUCAACAUACGGAAUCUGGAAUCUGGAAACAAUUUUGUGGUUUGUUAUACUUACAAAGAUGUUUCUUGUAUUUCACCAAACAAUUAAGUGAAACGUUUGUUCGGUUGUAGAUUGUGGCUUUAAUCAUCUUUAUUCACAACACGAUUUUUCAAGUUGACUGUCCAAAAAGGAGAGCCGUUUUUAACGUUAGUGGAUAAACAACCCCUGUUCUGUUUUAAUAACAAUACUUUAAUUAUAGCAGCUGCUCCUGUAUGUUUGUGGAAUUUGAAAUAUGACGAUUGAGUUACUUUAUAAAAAUCGAUUUGAAUAUUUGCCAAAACAUUUUCGUAGUUUUAUUGCAUAGCUUAUUAUUAACCCUUCGCUUUGAAAAUUACAAGACAUAUGUUUUCAAUCAUUUUAGUUUACAUCCUCCAGUAUAAAUUUACCACAUACGUUUCGUAAAGGUUUGAUCAGGAAAAAAAUAACAACCUUCACUUUGAUCGAAAAUUGCAAAUGUAACAAGAUAUAAAAAAUGGUUAGGGUUAGGGUUAGGGUUAGGGGUUAGGGUUAGGGUUAGGGUUAAGGUUAGAGGGAUUUUUUUAUAACAUGCAUUUGUUUAAGUAGGGUACACACUGCAUCUCUUCUGUUAUCCCGUUUGUUCAUCAGUUGAGGUCUGUAUCCGAGGUCUGUACAUAAAUCGACUUUUUGAAGAUGAUAAACGAAUGUUUUCUUCUUUCUUUCUACACCCAGUCAGGCUGUCGUGAUAAUGUGUUGUUCGUAAUUAUUUUAUCUUUGUGUGUACGUCUAUUUUCUUAGAUGCGUUCGGUGUUAGUGGUUGGUGCUGUCUGUUGUAUGAUGAUAACUGGUAUAGUUUUUAUUAUUUACUUUCUAAGAUUUUUUUUUUUUUUAUUUCUAUUAAUUCUGGUAUGAGAACAGGGGUUGAGAAAAGGUUAUACUACAAAAGAACACACAUUUAAUAUCGUUAGAAAAAUGUUUCAAUAAAGAUUAUAUGACAGCACAUAGCAUAGAGCCUGGGAGGAAAAGUGUAUCGGCAAAGAGGAUAUCGUCGGAAUAUAUCCUAGAGCCUCUGAGGAAAAGUGUCACAACAAAGUGGAUAUGUCGGGAUAUAUCAUGGAAUCUGUGAAUGAAAUUGUUACAACAAAGAGAAGAUGUCGGGAUACAUCGGAGAGCCUAUGAGGAUAAGUGUAACAGCAAAUAGGACAUCUUGAAUGAAGCUAAUUGUCUGGUGACAAUACUGCCGGUUUUGUCAUAUUCUUUACUUUGACGACCGAAUCUGACUUUGGGAUUGUAUGACGGCCGUUGUAUUCAUAGUUUCGUUUAAUGGUAUAAGCUUUAGUUACCCUUAGAAAACACUGUCAACCACGGCGAAGCCAAGGUUGACAAUGAUUUUUCGAGGGGUACCAAUCUGCUCUAUCACCCUCUCAACUAUGUGUUAUUUAAUUUAUUAUACUGAAUGUCCCAUCAUUGUUGUCUUUUACAGAUGAAUUUGAUUUAUAAGUAUUUUCUAUGACGUCACGUACAUAACAACGUUACGGGUAUCAGAAAAAUCAACAGAAGUGAAGCAAGAUGUUUUAUUUUUUUUUAUUUUGACAGUCAAAUAAUAAAAUCUGAGCCAAAACGUAGAACUUAA